rnacentral:rRNA from 1 species
CGGGGUGCAGCAGGCGCGAAAACUCUACAAUGCAGGCAACUGCGAUAGGGGAACAUCGAGUGAUCCUCAUAUUGGGGGUCUGUCCACCCGUCUAAAAAACGGGUGUUAGCAAGGGCCGGGCAAGACCGGUGCCAGCCGCCGCGGUAAUACCGGCGGCUCGAGUGGUGGCCGAUAUUAUUGAGUCUAAAGGGUCCGUAGCCGGCUUUGCAAGUCUCUCGGGAAAUCCAGCGGCUUAACCGUUGGUCGUCCGGGGGGUACUACAUUGCUUGGGACUGGGAGAGGUAGGAGGUACUCAGGGGGUAGGAGUGAAAUCCUGUAAUCCUCUGGGGACCACCGGUGGCGAAGGCGUCCUACCAGAACAGGUCCGACGGUGAGGGACGAAAGCUAGGGGCACGAACCGGAUUAGAUACCCGGGUAGUCCUAGCCGUAAACGAUGCUCGCUAGGUGUCACAACAGUCGUGAACUGUUGUGGUGCCGUAGGGAAGCCGUGAAGCGAGCCACUUGGGAAGUACGACCGCAAGGUUGAAACUUAAAGGAAUUGGC